ACUGCGCGUGAACGUGAGGCGCGCUACUCUGUUUUGCUUUAAGCUUGGUUCUCUGCGUCGGACAGAGAACAUCUUUAAAGGCAGUUCGUCCAUUAGUAUGUGCUUCACUGCAUAACAAUUGGUGAGCCGACAUCGAACGCUCAUCGUCUUGCACCGUCCAGAGCCCUCCCUGCGCCUUCAUGUUGCUCCCAUGGCUGAACCCUUCGAUGGAGUCCCUCGAACUUUCCUGUUCCAUCAGCCUACAUUGCUUCCAUGCCUGUUAGGCUUCUAGACUUCUGCCCAAGCGACCGCGCAGUCUAGUUUGCUCAAGUGGAAUCGCAGUUCAUUGCCCACCGUGUCACCGGCCAAGACUCCCUAUACAACACUGCAGUUUCUGCCCUUUCUCCAUCCACCGCUAUGGAAGUCAGACACCUCCUGCGGACCAGCCCUACACCGUAAGCUCAAGAGCGAACUAAUCAAGCGCAUUACGGCUUCCGAACGCCGUCGUCCCCAACAAUUAUUGACCGCUGAGGACUUGGGCGACCAGGAACUCAAUCAACUACUUCGGCGCAUGCAGCGCGUCCCUUAGGCGAUAAACCUGCGACUGACGAAGCUUUCAUGCAGCGUCUGCCCAACUCGGUAUAGAUGAUCAGCUGGGAAUAUUCCUCUGGCGAACCUUGCCCAGAUGGCCAACAACAUUAUGGACGUCUCCUUCCCUCUGGUAUCAAGCGUCGCCCAGCCGCACAACCCGGUGAUUGCGGACUUACGCGCUGAGGUUGCUCGCCUCACCGACUUGGUGCAGUCUCUUGCCUCCCGUCGCUUUUGAGGAGACUACGGUUUCGCAUAUACCCGCAUAUUCAAGACAUUACUGUAAAUUUGGCCGGCGCCACCAUUUUCUCGACAAUCGAUCUCAUUAAAGCUUAUCAUCAGAUUC